UCCCUGGCCGUCUAGUGGUUAAGACCCUGCACUUACAAUGCAGGGGACUCAGGUUCGAAGACUGGUCAGGGAA
rnacentral:tRNA from 1 species